CUCAUUACCUCUCAUUGGAGAGCUGUACCUCAUCGAAACUCAUCGGCACAACUAUCUGACGACACCGUCCCGUACACAUUCGAACAAUCACUUUGCCAGCUUUUAUUCCCUAAUCUUGAACAUUACAAUUGUGGGAGAAAAUUCCAUUUAUGCGCAUGCCUAAAACGAAUGAACACGGAAAUGUGUUUCUGCGCGUGCGUAUAUAUGAAAAGUGUUCGUACCACAAUCAUAAGACAAUCAAACAGCAUUCAAAACAGGCAACACACCACGCGCGAUUCCCUCGGCAACUAUGAUAUUACAAAGUAAUAGCAUGGCAUUACGGUCGAUUAGUGAUGAAAAUCGGUCGAUUAGUAAUGUCCCUCAAGCCUCGAGAGGUUUAGUAAAAGUCUCGGCUUUCGGGUACAUUUAAUCACUAAUCGCCCUGAAUGCCAUGCUAUUACUUAUGCACUAGUCAAUCGAAGUCCCCAUCCCGGGGAUAUACCGGGUUUUAACGGGACUUUGCGGGGGAAAUACAGGCUUUUAACAAACGUCGCUUGUUUGCUACCCGGGGUUUUAACACUGACUUAAAUAGCCGGGGCAUCAUAGCCGGGAAUUUAACGCCAUUUUUAACGCAAUUGAAAAGCGCCGGCUCGGGAAAGUGAUCGUGUGCACAGUCUUAGAUUUGUUUGUACUUUGUAUAUAUUUAUUUGGGAAAUUAUUAUAUUAAGAUAUUAAGCGCUACUCUUGUUGUUUGCAUGAUUUGAGUGAUGUAUUACCUGGUUUAUACCGUGAAUUUAUAUUUUACCCUAUUAACAUACCGGUAUAUAUGACCUGGCUUAUGCGUACUUUAAUAAUUAAAAACGGGAUUAUUUUACAAAGAAGCAAAGCAUCUGACAACUAUUGGCUUCAUUUGAACCAUUCUCCUGUAUUAAUUUUAUAAUAUGCAUACGAAAUUUUUAAAGAACGAACCAGGUAAAGUAUUUUAUUAUAUAAACAUAAGUGUUAUAUACAGUUUGUGAAAAUAUCAUUUGUUGUAAAACGCAUUGCCACGGACGUUUUAUUGUUUUUCACUGAAUUUUGUUUAUAUAAUAAACAGAAAAAUACAUGGGUGCUUGGAAAUACCAGAUUUAUUUCUCGUGUUGAACAUAUCUCACUCGUUCGCUGCCCUCACUCGUGAGAUAUCAUGUUCAACAUUGAAAUAAAUCUGGUAUUUCCGCCGCGCACCCAUGUAUUAUUCUCUAUAACUUUGGCGGAGUUUUAAUGGAAAUAUUAAUGUUAGGUUUUUUAUAAAACUGCGGAAAUUU